rfam:Picea glauca, whole genome shotgun sequence.
ACAUGCCUAUAACAUAGAGUUAAUGCACCAAAUCUCAUUAUAACUCCGCAGUUAAGUGCGCUCAGGCUAGAGUAGUACUGGGAUGGGUGACUGCCUAGUAAGUCCUAUUGUUUUACAUGCC